rnacentral:rRNA from 1 species
GGGUCAGCGACUUAUAUUCUGUAGCAAGGUUAACCGUAUAGGGGAGCCGCAGGGAAACCGAGUCUUAACCGGGCGUUAAGUUGCAGGGUAUAGACCCGAAACCCGGUGAUCUAGCCAUGGGCAGGUUGAAGGUUGGGUAACACUAACUGGAGGACCGAACCGACUAAUGUUGAAAAAUUAGCGGAUGACCUGUGGCUGGGGGUGAAAGGCCAAUCAAACCGGGAGAUAGCUGGUUCUCCCCGAAAGCUAUUUAGGUAGCGCCUCGUGAAUUCAUCUCCGGGGGUAGAGCACUGUUUCGGCUAGGGGGCCAUCCCGGCUUACCAACCCGAUGCAAACUGCGAAUACCGGAGAAUGUUAUCACGGGAGACACACGGCGGGUGCUAACGUCCGUCGUGAAGAGGGAAACAACCCAGACCGCCAGCUAAGGUCCCAAAGUCAUGGUUAAGUGGGAAACGAUGUGGGAAGGCCCAGACAGCCAGGAUGUUGGCUUAGAAGCAGCCAUCAUUUAAAGAAAGCGUAAUAGCUCACUGGUCGAGUCGGCCUGCGCGGAAGAUGUAACGGGGCUAAACCAUGCACCGAAGCUGCGGCAGCGACACUCAGGUGUUGUUGGGUAGGGGAGCGUUCUGUAAGCCUGCGAAGGUGGCCUGUGAGGGUUGCUGGAGGUAUCAGAAGUGCGAAUGCUGACAUAAGUAACGAUAAAGCGG